rnacentral:rRNA from 1 species
UGUGACCUCAAAUCAGGUAGGACUACCCGCUGAACUUAAGCAUAUCAAUAAGCGGAGGAAAAGAAACUAACAAGGAUUCCCCUAGUAACUGCGAGUGAAGCGGGAAAAGCUCAAAUUUAAAAUCUGGCGGUCUUUUUGGCUGUCCGAGUUGUAAUCUAGAGAAGUGUUAUCCGCGCUGGACCGUGUACAGGUCUCCUGGAAUGGAGCAUCAUAGAGGGUGAGAAUCCCGUCUUUGACAUGGACUGCCAGGGCUUUGUGAUGCGCUCUCAAAGAGUCGAGUUGUUUGGGAAUGCAGCUCAAAAUGGGUGGUAAAUUCCAUCUAAAGCUAAAUAUUGGCGAGAGACCGAUAGCGAACAAGUACCGUGAGGGAAAGAUGAAAAGAACUUUGGAAAGAGAGUUAAACAGUACGUGAAAUUGCUGAAAGGGAAACGCUUGAAGUCAGUCACGUCAUCCAGAGAUCAGCCUUGCUUUUGCUUGGUGCACUUUCUGGUUUGAUGGGUCAGCAUCAAUUUUGAUCAUUGGAAAAAGGUUGAGGGAAUGUGGCAUCUUUGGAUGUGUUAUAGCCUUUGACCGCAUGCAAUGGUCGGGAUUGAGGAACUCAGCAUGCCGCGAGGCCGGG